CAGCCACCCACUACGGCUUCCUUACAAGCAUCCGCUGAAACCUCAGAGAAAAUGGUUACUUAGCAGCAUUAAGAUGCCAGGUUCUGUGACCUGAAACAUCUCAUACAAUAAGCGAGAAUUCAGUAAGUUGACAUUUUAAAAAUGUACCUUAAUUAAAAAAAUGGAAGAAAAGAUUUUCACUGAAAAGCAAUUAUUAUAAAUCGAACAGAACUGCAUCCUUUUAGAACAAUCCGUCUGUGGCACAUUGCUUAGUACUGAAUGUAUAUUAGAUGAAAAUCAUGCUGUAAAUAUUUGUUAUGACAAAUUGCAGGGUGAGAAUGGGAUGCUUCUUUGCAAUUCAUGAUUUUGCUCCCCCUACUGGCAGCUAUUGAAAAUGUAAUAAAGGGUUUAUCCACUAAACACCAAAUGUAGUGAAUUGAAAAUCGAAUAGCUAAAUGUAUGCAUGAAGUGCUGAUUGGGAAAUUGCAGUUCCUUAAUACAUUGAGGAUACCUAGCUGGAAUCUCUAUUCAAUAACCGUUCAACUGAGGCAAAAAUUUGUGUUCGACUCCCUGGGCUAGUUUUGUCUUGUCCGCAUCAUUUCUAGACUAUGCGUAGAAUUAUACAAAAUAUGUGAACAAGUCAGUGUCCCCGGCCUAGGCAGCUAAAUGUUUUUCUUAUUGAGUGACACAUACUUCCCUAAUGCAUUCCUCAGGCAGAGUGUGCUGACUCAAAGCCCUGUCUGUUCACAUCAGACAUACAGACAUCAGAUUUAGCACCCUUCCUGCCUGUUAGCAGGAGCACACCUCUCCCAGCUGUGCAUCGGAGCAUGGAUUUGCAUGAAGGGAUUCUUGUGAUACUGUAACCCUGACACGGAAUCUGAUCAGUGAUUGCAACAGAAAAUGCUAUGUCUUCACUUUAAUGAGCACUGUUCUGUUUUAUGGCUCACUUUAUUCACACUUUAUCGAUCAAGAUAAAAAAGUAUGUUUAAGCUUUUUAAUGGAAACAGGAGCAAGACUAUCAAGAAAUAUAUAAAUGGAUGGUCCUAGACUAUACGCAGCUAUAUCAUCCCCCGCCCUCCAUGUAGAUCCCUUAAAGCGGCACUGUCAUGCUGAACUUACCUUUACUGUCAUGCUGAACUUACCUUUCCCCAAUAGAUUCCUCUUCUCUCCCUCUGUCAGGAUCUGUUCUUAAUUUCUUCCUGUCUGCUCUAGUUUUCUUUAAAAUAAUAAGACAAAGUGGGGACUAUGUGUCUUAUGGAGGUUUCCUACACCUGACCAACUAUGACCAGAGGAGGAGUAAAGUGUCAUUCAUUUCCGGUGGUCAGAGCAAUUUUCCCACAAUUCUCAACUUUUCUCCGUGUUCCCGCGAAGCCUCCUUUCACACUUCCCGAACGUCCUGUCAUUUUAGACAGAACUCCGGCGAAACUACCGAAUUGAGUCCCAGGCGUAAGUGGAACAAACUCUUGAAAACGGCCUCAUUAGGGCGAAACGUGCUGUUUUUUAUACUUCAUUAAGUAAGAGUUAUUGUUUUGACUACAUGUAUAUUUGGGUCAGUCUUUACACUUUUAUUUUUUAUAUUUACCAUUUACUUAUACCUGGCAUAUUCUACCAUCUGAAGUACCAGAGCCAUCAUCAAAAGAAUCCUAGGUGGGGAUUGUUCCACCUACGUAUGGCACAUAGAGCGGUUUGUCUGCUCUGAAAAUUGUAAGUAUAUCUCCUAUUACAUUCUGCACUUACAUAUAUAGAGAGCACUAUGGGCCUUCUCUUCUUCUUUUAUUACAUAUGACCUACACUGCAACUACCAUCAGAGGGAUAUCCUACAUGUGGGGAGUUUAAAUACCACUGUACGUUGUUUUACCUGGAGUUGGUUAUAGCUCUUUCAAACGUGAGUUGGCACUUUUUAACCUCAGUCUUGUCUGUAGCCAAAUUUCUCUACGAUAUUGCACCAUUGAUCCCCUAUGCUUUUGUUUUUUCAUAUGCUGCUGAUGAUUUGACCCAUGACAUCACAUGAACACUUAAAGAAAAUUGAAAUCCAUAGACUUUCAUUGCUUGUUUUUGGUAUCUUUUUGUAUUUUUAAAAUUUAGUUUUUUUAUCUGUUCUAUGUGGCGCACCCUGUAUCCAUUGCGGUCUCUCCAGUUUUCUUGAAAGGUUUGCGGGUUACCCUUCCCUUCAGGUGUGCAGCCUUCUCUCCUAUUGUGAUCAGUCUUGCAGUGCUGUUCCACCCCAUCUCUCUUUUUUGCUACCAAGACUAAUUUAUCUCACUGAAGUAGUCUUGGUGCCAUGUGUCCCUGCCUGUUUAACCCUCCAAUGAAAAGACUGCAGUGUUUUCAUUGCAGGGUUAACAUGCUUCUAUUGGCUGUCAACAAUGAAGCCACUAGAAUAGAGUUAAACUCGGUUAUAGCUCAAAUGACUUUCAUUGAGAGCCUUUGAUUGGCACAGCACCAUUGAGAGCAUUUGAUGGGCACAGCACGGUGUAUUGCCACGCAUGGGCAAUAUUGAGGGAGGCACAGUGGCAGCGAGGAGAGCAGCACGCCACAGUGUGUAAGAUAAGUACUUUUUAAUCCCUGCAAGUGGGGGUGAACACGUAGAUAGGUAGGGGGACACUAUAAUGUUAGGAAAACGUUUGUUUUCAUAAUGCUGUGGUGUUCCUUUAAUGAUAUAUUUUAGGGGCCCUAAAAUUUUGUAUGUGAUUUAAGAUGCAUGAUGAUGCAUCCAAUCCCAUGCAAAACCCCUCUACUCAACACUAGACAGACUGCUAUCAACAGCAGUAGCAAUAGCACAUAUUGAUAAGGCACCAACAUAUGUAGCAGCGCUGUACAAUGAGCAAACAUGUUUAGACUGUUGGGACAAAGUUUAGAGGUAGGCCCUGGCAUUUAGUGUUAACCAGUGUCUCACACAAUACUGCAGGGGACCUAGAGGGAUUGGAGUUAGUGUGUGACUUUCUCAGUAGGCCUACAGAAAUACAGGAAACAAGGAAAAAGAACACUCGGCAUUACAAUGAUUCAAACAAAGCAAAUCGUGCACAAUAAACAGGAGGGUCCAUGUUUCAGCCCUAACUUGGACUGGAUGUCUUUAUUAAAAAUUUUAUUCAAACAAACUAGAACAUGUACAAUAAACAGAAAGUCACAUUCAUAGUUCUGUUUACUGUGUGUGCUCUGCUUUGUGUGGAUAUAAACUAGUUUGAUGAAUGAGUCUAUCACACACAACACUGAGGAAUACCGAAAGAGCAGUAUUUAAAGCGAAUAGUUUGAAAAUCCAGUGAUGUGAUUCUUGUAGACAGGAUAGAAGAGGGUAAAGAAAGAUGGAAUGAGUAGGGGAAGGUGUAAAGAAUAAAUGGAAUUAGGAUGGCUCGGGAGAGAAUGAAUAUAAAGGGUAGAAGGUAUGAUGAUGAGGAACACAAUAAGAUGGGAAGUAGGGAGAGGCUGUAUAAAAGGGAGAGUGAAUUAAAAGGGAAGAGAUAUAUGAAAUUAAGAAAAGAGGCAGAUAUUCAAUAAGGAGGGGAAGGAGAACAUAUUGAAUAGGCUGGGAGUGGUUUGGAAUUAGGAGACAAAAGAUGUGAGGGAGAUAGGAUGAGGAAGGGGGAGCAUGUUAAUUAUAGAGACAGAUGAAGGAGGUGAGAGAAGACUGGAUGAGGACAGAGGGAUGAAGGUUUGGGGAGGGCGAGGCUGAAUAAGAAGGGAAGAAAGCAUAUGGAAUGAGCAUGGUAGAAGGGAGAUAAAUAAGGGCCCAAUUUGAAUGGGGAUUGGAUAAGCAGAUGGAAUAGGGAAGAAGAGAAAUAAUUAGAGAUGCAUGGCUCCCAAUCAUCCUGAUUUCGGCAGGGCAGUUACGAUUUUCGAGUCCUGUCCCACCGUCCCUCCUUAGUUUCCUGCUGUUUCACUUUUAAAGACACCAGGUAACUGUCCCCAACUCUCAUAUAGCGAGAACAUCAUUAGACGCGCUCGUUCUAUGAUCAGGGCACUAGAACCCUGCAUGGGGCACUGAAACAGCACUGCCUGCAAGCCCUGCCUACAAGCCCUGCCGGCCUGAGUGAUGGACAGACAGCUUGGCUUGUAUUCACACCAAGCUGAGUCGAUCCACCCAUUUGGAUGUGGAGCUAGUAACACAAUCACAUCAAUGACCCGCCCUUUUACCUCCCUUCCAUCAGCGAUUCUCAGGACACCGGAGUUAGGAGGAAUGGAGAUGAGGGGGCUAUCGAUGAGGAGAAACAUUGAUAGGGAAGAAAUUUGAUCAGUUAAUGGAAGUAACGUGUUAAUACAGCCUUUAAACGAAGACUUUAAGAGCUAUAACUACUAAAGUGCCCCUCCCUGUCUCUGCUACAGCCUUUAGAGAGCCAGAAAUUUUAGCUUAUGAGCUUCCAUUGGCUCUCCUGAGCUAUGCCCUGCAGUGCAAAUCGGCUGAGAGUGUUAACUGAUGAUCACUCUCAGCCAGUUAGCUAUGCCCUCCAAUACAAAAAGAAUCUCCAAGUCUUACUACUAAUAAUAAAAAUGAUAGAUGAUGACUUAGUGUUAUUAGAUUAUAUAUUGAUCCCAGUUCCCCAGCAUAUGAAAAAAAAAACAUCCCUAUACACUAAAGAAGUUGAGCAGCAUAAAUAUAUACAAUAGUUCCGGCUCGAGAAUGUUAAACAUACUACUCUAUAGGUUUGGGGUUUUUUUAAGUAUGGUGUCAGGAUUUGCAAAACCAAUAAUGGAAAAAUUAUCCAGUUUUGCUUUUGCAGUUUGCAAUUACAUUUUCCAUUAUCUGUAUAAAUAAUCCCCAAGUCUAGGUGAGUCUGGCAUAGUGCUAGAACUUUUCUAAUUAUACCAAUAAGGCGCAUUUCGUCAAGCUGUAUACUGAAAUUAUCACACACAGAUUUCAUUUUCAUUUUGUUUAAAAAUUAUAGCACGCUACACAAUGCACUCAGAUCUGCAAAUCAAAUCAAGAUGUCCGCUUCUCAGAGGCAAUAUGCAGACAGAGAGAAGGACCAGGCCAGCUGAUACACUAGGUGGAGAGCGUAAAUUAUGGUAUUGUUUAGGGAAGAACAUGUAGUGAGUAGAAUUCGUGGAAUUAUUUGUAUCAUUAGGGAGUUCACCACUUGGACACAUAAAGGGCAGGAAAGCCUUAAGGAUUAUUCUAAUUAUUUUUUUUUAAAAAAUGUUUUGGAUGCAAAAAAAAUCCAGCAAGGAUUAUCAACAGGAAAAAAAAAAAAUCUAUCUGGAUCCAAUGUUCCCUUUCAUGUGUGGCGUAGUUUCCUGCUUCACAGUUAGUGCCAGAAGAAUAUGACCCACAUUUUAAAUUAGAGUCAGAUUAUGAAAUGAAUGUUGUCCAGGAAUGCACAUUUUUAGGAUUCACUUAGACGUAAAUCUGUUUCACAUUCAAAAUUUUCAAAGUAUGAACAAUGUUACACGUAUUUAAUGUGUGAGCAAAUGGCAAACCAAGCAAAAAAUAUUUUAGCUCGCACUCAGAUUACACACCACAACCAAGUAGUUGACAGCCCUGUACAACAUAAACUAUUAUUGGUUUUAGAAUGUCCGGGGAACACUAAAAUAAUCUAAGCAGGGUGGAAAUGCUGCAUUAAGGUCUAGAUGCCUUUCUGCAGACUCAUUUUGACACAUAUACAUAAAGCUGCAAGUUAAGAUUUUCUUUAAACUUGUGCAGCCCUGAAACAGUCACCCUCUCCCCCCCCCCGUACUCUUACAACAAUUAAAGGGACACUCCAGGCACCCAGACCACUUCUGCCCAUUGGAGUGAUCUGGGUGCCAACUCCCACCACCCUUAACCCUGUAAGUGUAAUUAUUGCAGUUUUUAUUUAUAAACUGCAAUAAUUACCUUGCAGGGUUAAGUCCUCUUCUAGUGGCUGUCUAUCAGACAGCCGCUAGAGGGACUUCCGGGUUCUUAGAGUACAAAAAAUGUUUUAAACGACGCUGGACAUCCUUACGCCAUGCAUGAGGACCUCCAGCGUCGCCGGAAUCCCCUAAAUAAUGCUUUCCUAUGGGAAGGUCUAAUGCGCGUGUGGCCCAUUUCCACGCAUGCGCAUUAGGUCUCCCCCACCGGCUGAUGUCGGCGAGGGAGGAGUGUGGGUGGAGCCUGACCCAGCGCUGAGGGACAUCGGCACUGGAUUCAGGUAAGUCACUGAAGGGGUUUACAGGGACUCUUCAAUGCCAGGAAAACAUAUCAGUUUACCUGGAACUGCAGGACUCUGCAGUGCCCCCCUCCCUCAUCCCAUGUUGCUAAAGGGGUCAAACCCCUUCAGUGACUUACCUGAAUCCAGCCCCAUGGGCUUUCAAUUAGACAACAGGUCCUGUUACUUCCUUGUUUGAUUACCUCUGUAGAGCUAAACUCGAGGCAGCAAUUGCCCUGAGCGCCUGCCUUGCAAAGACUUUUUACUGAGCUGCAUUGGAAUGUAUGUGAUAGGACAGCCACAGAGAGUCUGGGUGGGGUUAGAAGGGGAGGGUUUGCCAAGGCUUCAGAUAAGAGAACUGCAGGUUUUGCAAGCUGUUUUUAGAUUUACCCCCAAUGAAAAAUGCAUAUAUAAAUGCAUGCAAGCUUUCACUGAGGGUAUAUCUACUAAGCAGUGCUGUUUUUAUAUUGGUAUACUUAUAGACUAAAUGAUAUAGGGUGAAUUACUAAAGAGAAAAUGGUAAGGAAUUCAAAGUAAAUUCAAAUUUAAGGCCAAAGUAGCCAAACCCGACUUGAAGAAUGUUUCCAGUUUAGCUAUUUUGUUCUUAGAUUUUAAAUUCACUUCAAAUUCACUGUAAAUCCCUGAGAAUUAAAGAUUAUGCUAGCUUUAGUGUACUAAUAAUCUUAAUUUUAAUAAUGACAGGAGGUGAGUAUUUUACUGGGCGCCAAGAUAGUCGGAACCCUUGCGUGUCUAAUAAGUUGCCUUCGGAACUUUGUGCCUUGUGCCUGGGGUUCCGACUAUCUUGGCGCCCAGUAAAAUACGAAGCCUCCUGUCAUGUGGUAAAAUUCUCAUCUUAGUAAAUAACCCUGAUUGUGUGAGUGUCUUUGUGUAUCUGUGAGCAUUUAUAACCACUAUUCAACUAUUUUGGUCUUACAUUUGGAAUUCAUUUUAAAUUCCUGACAAUUCUCACUCUAAAUAACCCUAAAAGACAGCAACCUAAUAUUGUACUGAAUGGAAUGAGACUAAUGAUAUUGAAAGGAAAUAUGAAAGAAAAGAAUUAGCAAACAGGACAAUAAAAGGAUACAUAAAUAAUUAGGAAAACCUGCGAGCUAUCCGGAAUCAUUUGGAAAGUAAAUUUAGGAAAAGAAAGGGAAGGAUAUACUAGAAUGUAAAGAGAGAUUAAAAAGUAAAUUAAUAAUAUCAAAGUAGUUAACUUAAAUCAUGUAGUGUAUGUUUCCAGUAUGCAGACAUCUGUAUGUUUGUCUGUGUGUCUGUAUGUGUAUGUAUGUCUGUGUGUAUGUCUGUGUCUGUAUGUCUGUGUCUGUCUGUCUGUAUGUGUGUGUAUGUCUGUCUGUGUGUGUGUGUGUAUGUCUUACUGUGUGUAUGUGUGUGUAUGUCUGUAUGUAUGUGUGUGUGUGUCUGUAUGUCUGUGUGUGUAUGUAUGUGUGUAUGUUUGUCUGUGUGUCUGUAUGUAUGUGUGUCUGUGUAUAUGUCUGUGGGUCUGUAUGUAUGUAUGUGUGUCUACAUGUGUAUCUGUUUGCAUGUGUGGGGGGAGGGGAUAACGUAUGGGAGGAGGGAGGAGGUGGCAGGGGUUUAUGUACAGGUGUGGGGGGGGGGGGCAGCAGGGCAAUUUUUGCAUCGGGGCCCCGUGGUUUCUAGUUAUGCCUCUGGAUGCAUGAAAGACACGGAAUGGAGGAACAGAGUGACUGAGGCAGACAUGUUUUAAAGUGUUCCCUUAUCAUCCCAGCAUAACCUUCCAUGCCACAGGACAGAGGGUGGAGGAAGAGUAUGGGUAGUUCUAUGAAUUGCCAUUUACUGCACUUCACAUGUGGUGGAGAAAGGCAUGAGGGCCACCUCUACCUCCAGUAAGCAGAGAAUACAGAGUAGUUAUUCCAAAUCCCUUGACCUGUAUUAGGUGUUUAUGCUGUUGAACUAAAAAAAGGCAUAAAACACAGUUGUAGCCAUUUCCUAUUAUGCCACAAAAAGGGGAAACAAAUCUUCUUGACUCCAUAUUGCCAAUCAGAUUUCUCAUUGGAUCAACAACCUGUUAGCAUUGAUCCAGGACCAAGUGCCCAUGGACUCCAAACACCUUAACUACUUCAGUUACUUGAAGUGGUUAUGGUGUAUAGACCGAUUACAGUUAAUGCUGUAAAUCUCACUAAUACCUUAGCUUGUUUCCUUUUUUCUUUAUCAAGUUAUGGAUGGAUUAUGACAAAUAUAAUGCUUCUCCAUUUGCGACCAUCACUUGCCACUUCUGCCAAAUUUUUUUCUUGGCGUUGUGUUACCACAGCUUAUACACUAGGAAACAAACUAAGCUGGAAGUGGUGAGGUAUGCACAAAAGUCUCAGAUUUUUUCUCUAACUUAUGAGCGUUACAUUAAUUUCUACACCAACUAGUAACUUGUGCCCCCUCUAGUCAGUGAUCCAGCCAGCUCAUUGAAUAUAUUUUUGGCCCAAUUUUUUUCCCACCAUGUAAAAACUAACCCUCAUUACAUACACAUGGCAUGUAAGGUGAUAUAUAAAGUAUCCAUUACUCAGUGUAUAUUUCACUAAUCAAUGGUAUGUUUCAGCUGCAAGGUCUUGCCUUUUUCCAAGUUUAGAAUUAAGCAACAGUUCUUAUGCAAUGGUCCUUGAUUAGUUAACAUCUAACCUUUGAUUUAACAAGAUGAGUGGGAGAAUAGUACAGUGUUCUCGUGACAAAACGCCAGGGCUUUAUAACCAAUUAUUAGAAAUAAGCCUGAUGUAUCUUUUCACUUAGCUUUCUUUAAUUUUUUUUUUUUUUUUUUAUCGUAUAACAAAUGCUUUGGAUAUUUCCAUCUGCUGACAUUCGAAGAGAUAUCAUUCAGCCAAGGCCAAAACAGCAUUAUAUGCAACUGCUCUUGAAGUAUAAGCCUUGAUCUGUGUAUAGUAAAACAGACAUGAAUUUCCUAUAAUGCCAACUAGGCCUUGGACUACAGCAGAAGGGUAAAGUGGACGGAAAGCGAUGUUACAUUAUUUUAAUAGUAUAUAUAAGUUUAGCUUUUUUUUUUUUGUGAUUAUAUUUUUAUUUGACUUUUUCAAAGUUUUCAUAAAGUGAGAGCUUUUUUGUCUUUUAACUCAUCUGUUAGCAGCCAAACAACCAAGCAGUAAAUGUAUUGAGCAAUGGAUAAACAAACCUUGCUUCUUGCAUAUCUCCCUUAACUUCACAUGAAGAACACGCAUGAAGUAAUUUGCACUGGUAAAUACACAUGCCAACCCACAUAACACAUACAUAUGCAGUCACGCACAAGUGUGUUACAUAUUUUGAGCACAAAGAUUUAUUACACAUAAAAAUUCAAUACAUACACACACAAUCAGAUAAAAAAAAAUAGUGACACACAUAAAUGAAGGCGUCCUCACCUGGUGACAAACGAUCCAGCUAAAAAGGACCAGGCAAUGACAACAGCCAGAUGAAUCCAAUUCAAAGAGGGGUGAUUUUUUUAGGGUCUGAAUCCAAAUAGAAUCCAUCUCAACUUAGUCUGUACUAAGCCAGCUGAAUAUUUUUAAUGUUGGUAAAACUCACUCAUUAACACCCUGCACCUUAGACCAUACACAGCUCAACAAAGAUAUUUAAAUUCUAUCAGCAUUGGAAGAAAAGACGUCCCACACAUCACAUAUGCGCUAAAAAAAAAAGACUUAAAACAUAUGUAGAACUCCGCUCCUCUCUUCUUAUAUGCUCUCUCUCACUUUCUUGCAAUCUGUCCUUUCCUUUGUGAGAGCCUCUACAGAAUUUUCCACCCUCCUUGCACUGUGAAUAUGUGUUAUCUGUAUGUAUAUUCCUUCAUGUGUUAGUGUGUACAUGUGUUAUCUGUUUGUGUAUGUGUCAGUUUGUGUGUUUAUGGGUGUGUGACAAGAUGCGUACAUGCCAGUGUGUGUGUCAGUGUGUAUGUGCAGGACAGUGUGCAUGAAUUUUGUCCUAACACGAUUGGACAAACUGUACUCACUCUGUUAGGACGAAAUUCGGUAGUUUUCCCAGCGAAUGGCUGUUCAAACAGCGAAUGAAGCAGCACAAGAUCACAGAGGAAAGGCUGGGUAUUGUGAGAAAUUUCUUUGACUACAGGAAAUAGAGUGGACUUAAGGUCUUCCUUGGGUCAAAGGUGGUCAAGCGAAGGAAAAAUACAUAAUACAAAGUAGUCCCUACUUUGUCUUAUCGUUUAAAGAAAAAUAGAUCAGAAAGGAAGAAAUGAGGAACAGAUCCUGAGAGAGGAAGAGAAGAGGAAGCAUUGGGGAAAGGUAAGUUCAGCAUGAUAGUGCCGCUUUAAGAAUUUGACAAUGUGUAAUUAUUCAUUCUCUUAACAUACAUGUAGUUGAAUUGUAUGUAUUGCUUAAUGUGUAUUUGUGCACUGCACUUUACUAUGCCUCCUUGACAGUCUCAGCCAAUCCUAUGUGAUAGCUUUGUAAUUGGCUCAGAACACAACUUGUGAUGAUAUCAGCCAAGCAGGCAGAUCAGGGGCAGAGCCAGCAGCAGCAGACUGAACUAAAGGUAAUAUUUUAUGGAUAAGGGGGGAGCCAGGCAGGCUAGAUUGUGGUUUUAACACUAUAGGAUCAGGAACAAAUGUUUGUCUUCCUGACCCUAUAGUGCUCCUUUAAAGCUGUAGGCGUGUUCAUUAUAGGGUAGGAAUUAUGGAUAGUCUGCUACCCAAGUAUAUUGAAAUAAGAGAUCCGAGUGAACAGAGCAUUUGACCCACUAAUUGCAUCCAAGCUUCUGUUGCAGGUGGCAUGUUGGUAUAUCCUACUGCCUGUUAUUUGUUAUUACAAUUUAUUCUGCACAUUUAACAAUUCUAGUUUUAGCCAAUGGACGGACCAUUGUAGUUCAGCUUUUGGGUAGGUGUAGGGAGGGGCUGUGAAUUACUGUAAUUACUUACAUGUAAUUACUUAGAAAGCAUUUAGAACUGCAGUAACCAAAAAUUUGUAGCUAUGUAAAUGUUUUUGAAAAGCCAUGGACACAGUAUAUGUUGGCGCUUUACAUCAUGUAAAUGAAUUAGGUUAAAACGAGCACAUAUUAAUUACUAAUGCAGUAAUUCUAACUACAUGUGUGUGUUUUUUGUACUGACAUCGUUUAAAGGUGGGAACGAGUAUGGGGUCACAUCGGGUUGGCCAGUUUAUAUUCAAAUGAGAUGUUGCAUAAAUCCAUGGUGUUAAACAUUUAUUAAUAUCUUAUGUUUGAAAUAAUGUUAGUACUUGUAGCCUAUCCCAGGAAAAAAAUACAAUGAAUUAAAAUAUCUCUUGUCCCUAAUUUUCUCAGAUUAUUGGAGCCAUUCUUGCCUCGAUGUCUGUGGGUCAAACAUGUCCAAAUCAACACUAGCACAGCAUGUCUGCACUUAUCCUUUUG
rnacentral:lncRNA from 1 species